CAGCGAAGUCCCGCGAGACUCCGGAAUCUUGGUGUCUGGGAUGCCCCGCGGGCGCGCCCGCGUCGCGACCCUGUCUAUACCAGGAAUGCAUCAGCCUGAAUAAAGUUCUGAGAGAAGGAAUGCUGGGACAAUGAUGGAAGAGUACUGAAUGACGGCAUAAGAUCUGGGGAAUAUUCCUUGUGAAGAGGCCUGGUUGACUGAGUACCAUCUGAGGCCCUAAGCCCCAGAUGGGACAGUGCAGGUCACAAGAUGUCAAACAUGAGCAAAGGACACCCACUGUUUUGAGCAGAGAAGGCACUGCAGGAAGGCAAGAGGCUGCAGGGGCAUUGAAAACACUGGCCCCACUACUACCCCCAUCCCAAUAACCAAGGGAAGUCCUACCAAUGCAGGGCUGGGGGGAGAGGCCGCCUGCAUUCCCAAAGCAACCCAACCUCCCUUGGAUGACUGCCUUAAGUCAAGCCCCACCCCCCACCCGCAUCUCGAAAACCCCUGCUAGGACUCAUGGUAGCCCCAUCCUUCUCGCGUGCAGAAGACUGACUAUCCCAAGGAGAGCUUGCCCCAACCCGACCCUGAGCCCAGUCCUCACCCAAAAUACCCAAGCGAAGUCCCUGACCCCUUCUCCCACAACAAAGUCUGGAGCCUCAGAGCAAGAGGGAAGCUGAAUUGUAUUCAAUCCCCAGAUCUCAGGGAUGUAAAUGCCCUCUCCCUCUCCACCAAUGCUAUUGAGACAGGCUGGGAUCUGGGACCCUUUGCUGCAGUGCUGCAAUGCUUGCACCUGGACACACCUCUCCUCAAGCAACAAAAUACAAAGAAAGUGUAUGGGACUAAAAAUAACUGUCUGCAGGCUGCAGUUGCGGCAAAUUCUGGACCCAAAAGAUAUAAAGAGACCAAAAAACCCAGCUGGCACUUUUGAAGAACCUGAAGCAAAAACUGUGUGGGGAGCAAAAGCAGAGUACUGAGCAUGCCCCCUGCACACACCACUACCAGAGGGGUGGGCAAAACACCUAAGCCACCCCUCUGGCCCUAACCUUGGGCACACGCCUACCCUCACCCCAUAGAAGGAAUAAACUUGCCCCCCUUCUCAGGGAGCGAGCAAGCAAGGGGACCUGUCGCUUGUUCUCAUCACCCCUCCACCCCAUC